UCCACACUCCGACCACCUCCCUCCAUGCCACGGCCACCCCCCUCCCCCCCGCUGACCAACCACCUACAAGCCCCGGCGAACUCUCUUCCCCGCCUUCGACCAGCACCGGCCGUCCAGCUUCACACACCGCCUCCACCACCCGCCCACCCGGUACAGCACCUCCCUGGGGCCUGGACCAGAUCCAGGACGACGCACCCCACACCUCAACCAGCAGUGACCGACGCGCCCCCACUCCAGACCGGCGAAGACGCGCCCCCCCCGCCCCACUUCUCCCUCUCGGCAUCGUCCUGUGCCCCACCGCGUCGAUCCCUUGCUGGGUCAGUGCGUCCCGCGACUGCGUGCUUCGAUCCCCAUGGGAUUUGAACCCUUUUCGUCCAACGACGACAGUAAAAGAAGGCAUCGGCUGCUCCGGCCGCCCGUCCGCAGAUUCCAACCGGUGUCGGCGCCCCUGCCCGCGGGCCCUGAUUAUUCUGAAAUUCUGAACUAUGCUCUGUAUUUGCAAAUAGAAAUGUAGCCUUACAUCUAUCAUGUUGCAUAUGAUUAUUCUUGUCAUGUUUUCCUGUUCUUUUCAAUCUUCUGGACCGGCGUGAGUUGUAGUCUAACAAAUUUGGGUGAUGUUGUCUGCAUGUUCACAAAUGAAUUUGGAACCGAAUCCCUUGUCAUUUUCUUUGAUGCUAGUAAUUGUUAUCAGAAUACCUUGAUAUUGACUUGCUGCCUUCCUGAGAGUGAUGGUGAUACCAAUACGUAAUGAGUAGUAUUACCUUGGUGCAUUUGGCCAAGCUCUUCAAUUAUAUAGGUGUUGAAAUGACAAUUAGAGAGACUCAGUUGAAUGUCUGGCGUUGAUGGCUAUUUUUGAACAUGGUGAGGGUUACACAGAGAAGCAGUGGUGAGAAGGAGAGGCAAGAGGACUUGUUGGCUGUUGUGAGAGGGAGAUGGAAGGAACCAGAAGCUGGAGCUGGCAUAGCGACACCAUGUCCGUUCAUCUUCACAAGCAAGUGGAGGGAGGAGAUGGGUGUCGGAGUGCCAGCGGCCAGGAAGCGAAGCAAGAGCAAGAGCCAAGGGGGGCGCGACCACUUAGCGGGGAGGAGCUAGAGCCGGGAAAACAUUGUCGCCAGUGGUCGAGGAAUGGGCCGCAAACCGCGGGGCCUCACUAAAUUAAUUCUGAAAUGAAGUGAAAGCAACGUUUUUGAGGUUUUGUGCACAUGCCCAAGCGAGAAGCUUCAACAUCACUUAUAGGCCCACUGACAAAUUCUCAAACUGAAUGAAGUCAACCUUUUCAGCACAUACUUCUGGGAAUUCAUGCAAACUACAGAGCUGAACAACAAAAUAAUCAUGCUGAAGAAAGCAACUCCACCACUCACUUUUUCUAGAGCAUUAUGGUCAUGGCCAUCAAUGGAGAUAGGGGUGAGAUGGAGCUUUCAUAUGGAUCGAGAUCUGGGAGGACGGAGGUGUGCAUGUGGGGCGUGGAGCAGGGGCGGCGCCAGGCCCAGGCAGCCAGGGCGUCGGCCUGUCGCGUGGUGAAGUUUUCCUUUGUUGACUGUAGCAGAAAUCGCACUGUAGCGUACAGUAACUAUAUGGCUUGCUUGUGUCAUGAAUCGGCCCUAUCUUUGCUA